AACGCUUGCGCACGCGCGAGUGCGGCAAGUCGGAUUUUCCGCGGGCAACCGAUUCGGCGCGCAGGCGUGUGCUUCGUCGGCGAUUGGCUUGACCGGCCCGAUCCGCGGUCUCGCGCGUUUCAUCGAACAUUCGAUCCCCACUUUGGGAGAAUUCAAGUUCGAUCGAGCAUUCGUCCAUGCGAGCACCAGUGUAAAUAUUUACUCCCAUUGGUGCAGCUCUCGUUUUGCAUGAAUUUACUGAAGUGGGGACGAACGAGUAUUCGUUGGUUUGAUCUAAAUGCACCAUUACAGGUGAUUGUCUAAAUGUUAAUAGCCUCUGGAGACGUAUUUUGACAGAAAUGUGAUAACAGAUACAUAGUUCAAUCUGAUCACAGUCUGCAAGCAAUAAAUAUUCUUCAUAGUGCAUUUUCUAAGCCUACUUCUCGAAG